UUGAAAGGGAAACGAUUGAAGUCAGUCGUACCAGCGGGAAAUCAACCUUUCGAGUGGGGGUUUUGGAGUUUUGAAGAGUGUCAAAACCUUUGAGAUUUCAAAAUUUUCGCUCCUUUGGUGUACUUUCUCGUGGGUAGGUUAACAUCGAUUUCGAUCAUCAUAAAAGGAUUGGAGGAAUGUAGCUUCGAUCUUGUAUUGAAGUGUUAUAGCCUUUGGUAAAUGUGAUGAUUGGGAUCGAGGAUUGCAACGAAUACCCUUUUGGGCUAUCCGCCUGAUCUCUGAUACGUGGCCUUGGCAUCGAAAGCUUGCUUAUGGUAUCGAGGUAUUACGGUCAAAAGGUUAGAACGGAUUACAUUCGUUAAGGAUGUUGACGUA
rnacentral:rRNA from 1 species